CCAUACAAGAGACCCAAAUUAACUGUCCAUCCGGCGUAAAGAGUGGCAAGAUGUUAUCCUCCCUGCUAAGAUCAAAAUGCAACCAAGCUGUCAUAAGCCCAAGAUGCACCUAAACCCACCCCCAAAAAGAUCCUAGUAACCACGAUCAAUUUCAACCCACGAAAGCUAGGGCACAAACUGGGAUUAGAUACCCCACUAUGCCUAGCCCUAAAUCUAGGUACUUCCCCUACCAAAGUACCCGCCCGAGAACUACGAGCACAAACGCUUAAAACUCUAAGGACUUGGCGGUGCCCCAAACCCACCUAGAGGAGCCUGUUCUAUAACCGAUAAUCCACGAUACACCUAACCACCUCUCGCCAGUGCAGCCUACAUACCGCCGUCGCCAGCUCACCUCCCCUGAGAGUCCCACAGUGAGCCCAAUAGCCGCCCCCCGCUAGCAAGACAGGUCAAGGUAUAGCCCACGAGGUGGAAGAAAUGGGCUACAUUUCCUGACACAGGACACACGGAACAAGGACGUGAAACCGUCCCUAGAAGGAGGAUUUAGCAGUAAAGCCGAACAAUAGAGUCUGCUUUAAACCGGCCCUGGGGCACGUACAUACCGCCCGUCACCCUCUUCACAGGCCUUUCCACCCACAUAAAUAAUUAACUCCACAAUAAGCCAAAAACGAGGUAAGUCGUAACAA
rnacentral:rRNA from 1 species